AUUGAACGCUGGUGGCAGGCUUAACACAUGCAAGUCGAGCGGGGUGAUGGUGCUUGCACUAUCACUUAGCGGCGGACGGGUGAGUAAUGCUUAGGAAUCUGCCUAUUAGUGGGGGACAACAUCUCGAAAGGGAUGCUAAUACCGCAUACGUCCUACGGGAGAAAGCAGGGGAUCACUUGUGACCUUGCGCUAAUAGAUGAGCCUAAGUCGGAUUAGCUAGUUGGUGGGGUAAAGGCCUACCAAGGCGACGAUCUGUAGCGGGUCUGAGAGGAUGAUCCGCCACACUGGGACUGAGACACGGCCCAGACUCCUACGGGAGGCAGCAGUGGGGAAUAUUGGACAAUGGGGGGAACCCUGAUCCAGCCAUGCCGCGUGUGUGAAGAAGGCCUUAUGGUUGUAAAGCACUUUAAGCGAGGAGGAGGCUCUUUUGGUUAAUACCCAAGAUGAGUGGACGUUACUCGCAGAAUCAGCACCGGCUAACUCUGUGCCAGCCGCCGCAGUAA
rnacentral:rRNA from 1 species